GCCCCGCGCCGCCGCCUCAGGGCCGCCCCGGGCCCGGGCCCGCCCCUCAGCACUUGGCGGCAUCGAGUCCGGCGCUGACCGAAAGUUAAGUGUUGUCCCGUGCCCGCUGAACGACGUUAUGCUUGCAGAUCCACGAAGCUGCCUUGAAGAAAGAAGAGCAGGCUGGCCAGUCACUGCAAAAUCAGUUCAGGCUGUUGUACGUAAAGAGAGGGAAAUGUAGUUCAUGUGGCUGCUGAGUGAAAUGUCAUAUACAAGUUCCUGGAAAUGUAGCAUUUAAUGGAAAAAAAUGUCCUGGGAAUAUCAAGCUAAGAGCUACCAUGGUACUGAAUGAGCAGAGGCUGGAGGAGAGCAGAACAUCUGAAUAUGAUUUCAGAUUGUGGUUGGUAUGAGAUGUGCCUUUCCUUUGUUUGCCUUUUAAGGGGAUCACUGUGUGCUGUGAUAAACUGUCCAUGUUUGGUGGUUGGCCGUCUCACCUCUUCCCUCCCCAGGAUGCUUGUGAGGUGCUGGCUUGUGUGUCCUCCACUGCGUCUGCCUUGCCAACAGAUACCAGCUACACAGAGAGGCUCCAGUGAUGCCUUGUUACGUUCUCUUCUGCAUGCCACUCUUCAUGCUCAGUUGUCCUCCUGCUGCUCCCAGAGCCCAAGUUCAACAAUGCCCACAACCUUCACGGAUGGAGCAGGGCAGCCUUGGAUUUCUACCUCCUAUUUGGUCUCCUGGAUGCUCACCAGCGCCAAUAAACCUUCAGAACGUGUCUU